rnacentral:rRNA from 1 species
AGUGAACGCUGGCGGUAGGCCUAACACAUGCAAGUCGAACGGCAGCACAGUAAGAGCUUGCUCUUACGGGUGGCGAGUGGCGGACGGGUGAGGAAUACAUCGGAAUCUACUUUUUCGUGGGGGAUAACGUAGGGAAACUUACGCUAAUACCGCAUACGACCUACGGGUGAAAGCAGGGGAUCUUCGGACCUUGCGCGAUUGAAUGAGCCGAUGUCGGAGUAGCUAGUUGGCGGGGGAAAGGCCCACCAAGGCGACGAUCCGUAGAUGGUCUGAGAAGAUGAUCAGCCGCACUGGAACUGAGACACGGUCCAGACUCCUAAGGGAGGCAGCAGUGCGGAAGAUGGAGCAAAGGGCGCGAGCCUGAUCCAGCCAUACCGCGUGGGUGAAGAAGGCCUUCGGGUUGUAAAGCCCUUUUGUUGGGAAAGAAAAGCAGCAGGUUAAUACCCCGCUGUUCUGACGGUACCAAAAGAAUAAGCACCGGCUAACUUCGUG